rnacentral:lncRNA from 1 species
GAAUCAAUCCCAUCCCGGGCAGGAAACGAGACCCAGGGCAGCCCCCUCCGCCGCGGCGGAACAAAGGAGCAGAGCGCAGCUGCACGCGCGGGACGCCCCAUCGGGUCCUGGACCCCCUUCUCCCCUGCCGCCGCCGCCGCCGGGGCACGCCGCACCUGAACCCCACUCCCCAGGACGCCCCAUUGUUCUCCCAACGCUUUCCUUCCCUGAGGCCACUCCGUGCCCUUCCCUAGAACCAGGGGGCCAGGAAACAGCUGUGGGCCAGAGAAAAGGAGGGGUUGUGGGUGAGAACGAGGAAGAUCUGGAUUCCACUCUGUCCACAGACAAGGAAAGCCGAAACCAGAGAGGUCUUCCAGCUAAUAAGCGGCAGUGGUGGUCUGAAGACAUGUCCACAAAUUCAUUGACACUCCUCCCAUUAAAGAGUGGAGUCUAAUUGCCUUCCUCUUGAAUGUGGCUGAACUUAGUGGCUUAAUUCUAAUGAAUAGAACGCAGCAGAAGUGAUGCUGUAUGACUUCUGAUUCUAGGUCAUGAAAGGAGGUAGAACUUUCACCUGGCCCUCUCUUGGAACACUCACCCUUGGAACAUGGCUGCCAUGCUAUGAGGAAGCUCAGUCUACAUGGAAGGUCAGGCAUAGAUAUUCCAGCUGAUGGUGCCAGCUGAGAACCCAGGCUACAGCCAGAUACGUGAGUCAGUGAGCCUUUGAGGUGACUCCAGCCCUAGUCACUGACUGACUACAGUGCAUAAGAGACCUGGCGAGAAAACCCAACUGAACCUAGUCGGUGCCCUGAAUCAGGAGACAUAACAAUAUUGAGAGAUUGUCUUUGGAGGGGUCAUUACAUAGCAGUUGACACUGGGCACAGUGGGAGAGAUGGGAUUUGAACCCAGGCAGUCUGACUCCACAGUCUCCACCGCAAUCACAUUGCCUCAGACCUUGCUGACCUCGCCUGAUGAACACCAGCCUUCACAACAGUGUAUGGACCUGCUACACGAGGACACAUUUAGGCUCACUUUUCCACUUUGCCCAUCUGAUUUCAAGUUCCAAACAGAUGACCUAUAGCAGCUUGGCAAUAAGGAAGCCUCUGACUUCUGUAUCUAGUCCAGCUUUCCAAAAAAUAACAAGUUCAAA